rnacentral:lncRNA from 1 species
GCCACCAUGUGAAGUCGAUGUUUUUGUUGUCUUUCCAAAUUUUAUUCUAAUCAUAAUGAUAAGAGCCAGAUUAGGAUCUUACUUUAUAUAGUUUUACAUGUCACUUUUUAAAAACUUUAAUAUAUGUCAUGAGCAUUUCCCCAUUAACCAUACUUCAGAAGCACCUUUUCCAGUAGUGGUAUAAAAUUUCAUCGUUUGGCCAUUCCAAUGUCCAAUAUCCAAAAUGUCCAUACUCUCUAGAAAGGCAUUUUCAGCUUUCUACCAUUGUAACACAAUGACAAAGUGACAGGGAAGAACACUAUGGGCUUUGGUGUCCUGGAGAAGUGUAUUUAAAUUCCAGCUUUAUCAUUCUCUAGUUAGGUGCUCUUAGGUAAACAAGAUAACCUCUGAGUCCCAGUUCCUCAUUCUAAAGUGGGGAACUAAUAAGUCCCUUACAGAUUUGGACAUGCUGAGUUUGAAGUGAUUGUGCGAUAUCCAAGUAUAUACAGAUGGAGGGAGAGUUCUAGACUGAAAGUGUAGAUUUAAAAAAAAAAAAUCUAUUUUUCAGAGGACAUUUGAAGUCUUAGAAGGAGAUGAAAUCAGCCAGGAAGAGAGAGUAGAGAGAAAGGCAGGGAGCGAAGGAUUCGAAGUGAGCUGGGCCCACCAAUAUUUAGUGGGAGGGGGAGGGAAAGUGCAAAAGCCACGUGAUGAAGAAGAGAUGGUAGAGGGAUGAAACGAGAAGCAUGGAAAUAGUGUGGAGAAGCGGAGGGAAAUGUUUGCAGAAGAGAACAGAGACAGAGUGGUCAGAGAGGUAUAGUAAAAAGAAGAGACGGUUGGGGGUCAAGAAUGGAGGAAGGAGAGAUGCUGUCCAGUGCAGCAGUGAGGGGCACUAAGGCAAACACUGAAAACAACCAUUUGACUGGGUGACUAGGAGGCCUUUUGUCUCCUCGGCUGGAACAGUUUCCAUGCAGUGGAGGGUCAGAAGCUACAGAAGGAUGCACAAGAAUUGUGGAGUGUACUUUUAAAAGGUUUGUAUAAACAAGGAAGGAGAGGGGUGAAGAGAGAAGCUGGAGGGAAUCAAGGGAGGUUUUUUCUUUUUAAAUAUGUAAGAGACUUGAACAAGGCUGAGGGAAAGAAGAUGGUCAAGAGGGAGAAGAUACAGGCACAGGAAAGAAGGGGAGUCCAGUCAUUUGGGCAUUUCUUCAUUGAUUUAUUUGUUCAACAAAUGAGAAUAAAGUGCCUCCUAUGCGCAAAGAGCCAUUCCAUGGAUACAGCAAUGGUCAGGCAGUUUAGGUUGCUGCUUUCAUUGGGGGGGGUAUGUUAUACUUGGAGAAAAAGACAGUAAACCAUGAUGACAACACAAUAACACCAUCACGAGCAUAACUCAGGGAGCAAAUAUUUGAGAAUAAAAACUGUAUACCGAGCAUCAAAAUAGAUUCACUGUUUUGUAACGAGUGGUUACUUUGGAUCAGAUGUUCAGGAGUGGGCUAAGGAGGCAAUAUUGAAUCUGAGGCUCAUAUGACAAGAAGGAGACAGUUAUGCAAAGAUCAGCAGGAAGAGAUUUCAAGUCCGAGGAAGGGAUAGUGCAAUGGAUGAGCUCGGCAUGUCUGGCGCAACAAGAAGGUUGGAGUAACAGAGAUGGGGAAGAGUUGGAGAUGUGCUCAGAAAGGAAGGCUGAGGCUAGAUACUGAAGGACACUGGAGGCCACGGUUUUAUUCUAGGUGGGAUUAGAAGCCACCCACCGCAAGACAGUAAUAUGAUUACAUUUAUGUUUCAAAAGGAUCAUUCUGGCUGCUGUUAAAAUAUAAUUUAGUGGGGAGGAGCAGAAGAUGGGAACAGGUUAAGAAGUUAUAGCCAGAGUCAAAACAAGAGAUGGGGUGGCUUGGACUACAGUGGAGAUGACAAGAAAUGGAUGGAAUGAGGCCAUAUUUUGGAACAGAGCCAAAGGACAUGCUGAUGGAAUGGACAUGGAGAGGUGGUGUGUGAGGAAAUGAGGAACCAAUAAAGGCUCUUUGCUGGAGGACUUGAGUGGAUGGUGGGUUAUUUUAUUGAGGUGGAGAAGAGUAGGGUGUAUGUCUAACCAAGUCAAUUUACCUCAAUAAAGCUGAAAUAAAAAAAAAGAGUUCUGCCCUGGACGUGAUAAGAGGAUGACUGGUGGAGAGAUUAGUUGAAGGAAUAUUUCUUACCUACCUUAUCUCUAGCUUUUUAAUUACAGUUGUUUUCCCAAGGCUCCAAGGUACUGAAAGCAUGUAAAAGCCAUUUGGAGUAUCUACUUUUUGGCCUCGCCCACUGUUUCCUGUGCUCCUUUGUCCAUCCUUCUGCUCCCUGGUUCCAUACGCUGGCUUCUGACCCCGGUUCUGGAAAAUCACGUGUCCUUUCUCUAAUUUGUUACUCAGGUCCCCAUCUGAAUCUCUGCUCUGCAUACUUCCUUGAUCUCAUCAUUGGCUUCAACUUCAACAUCUUCCAUCAGCUUUGCCCUGGAGGCAGCCAGCUGCCAUGUUGUGAGCUGCCCUAUGUAGAGGCCCCCAUGGCAGAGAACUGAGGUCUCCAGACAACGUCCAGCAGACCUGAGGCUGCCAUAGUGACAAUCAGUUCCAAACAGUCAAGCCUGCCAGAAAAAACAGACAAACUCUCAGGAACAACAAUGCCCAUUAUGUGUGGGGGGACGCAGGGAGAAAGAGAUUGCAGCCUGAGCAAAUUAGAGGUGGUGAUGACUGUGAGGGAAGCCACAGGAAAGAGAGACAAAGACCCCUGCUUCUGCCAGAAGAACAAGCCUGGGAUAGCCUCCUGGAGGAUGAAUGAUCACAAGGAGUGACGAAUUGUCCCAGCUGAGGCCAAUCUAUACCAGUCUACAGUGAGCAUAUGCGUGAAAGUCUAACCAAGAGCUACAGAGUUACUUACCCAGCCCACCACUGACCACAGAUGAACGAGGGAGCCUAGCUGAGACUAGAACUGCCCAGUUCAUCCACAAACUUGUGAGGAACCUCUGCUGUCUUCUAAACGGAGAAAAGGAGGAAAUUUGGAUGCCGAUACAGACACAGGGGGAACGCUUUGUGAAGAUGAAGGCCGAGGUCAGGGUGAUGCUCCCACACACCGAGGAACGCCAAAGAUUGCCAACAAACCACCAGAAAUGAGGGAAGAGGCGCGGAACAGAUCUUUCCCUCACAGCCCUCCGAGGAAGCAACCCCGCUGACAUUUGGAUCUGGGAAAUCUAGCCUCCAGGACCAUGAUAAUAAAUUUCUGGUUUUUUAGCCCCUUGGUCUGUGGUCCUUUGUUAUGGCAGCCCUGGCAGAUGAACACACCAUCAAGCAUUUCCUGAGCUGGGUAGAUUUUACUGAAGAUAUUUGAAGGGAG